UGUAUAAUGGGUCAGCGACUUAUAUUCUGUAGCAAGGUUAACCGAAUAGGGGAGCCGGAGGGAAACCGAGUCUUAAUUGGGCGUUAAGUUGCAGGGUAUAGACCCGAAACCCGGUGAUCUAGCCAUGGGCAGGUUGAAGGUUGGGUAACACUAACUGGAGGACCGAACCGACUAAUGUUGAAAAAUUAGCGGAUGACCUGUGGCUGGGGGUGAAAGGCCAAUCAAACCGGGAGAUAGCUGGUUCUCCCCGAAAGCUAUUUAGGUAGCGCCUCGUGAAUUCAUCUCCGGGGGUAGAGCACUGUUUCGGCUAGGGGGCCAUCCCGGCUUACCAACCCGAUGCAAACUGCGAAUACCGGAGAAUGUUAUCACGGGAGACACACGGCGGGUGCUAACGUCCGUCGUGAAGAGGGAAACAACCCAGACCGCCAGCUAAGGUCCCAAAGUCAUGGUUAAGUGGGAAACGAUGUGGGAAGGCCCAGACAGCCAGGAUGUUGGCUUAGAAGCAGCCAUCAUUUAAAGAAAGCGUAAUAGCUCACUGGUCGAGUCGGCCUGCGCGGAAGAUGUAACGGGGCUAAACCAUGCACCGAAGCUGCGGCAGCGACACUGUGUGUUGUUGGGUAGGGGAGCGUUCUGUAAGCCUGUGAAGGUGUGUCGUGAGGCAUGCUGGAGGUAUCAGAAGUGCGAAUGCUGACAUAAGUAACGAUAAAGCGGGUGAAAAGCCCGCUCGCCGGAAGACCAAGGGUUCCUGUCCAACGUUAAUCGGGGCAGGGUGAGUCGACCCCUAAGGCGAGGCCGAAAGGCGUAGUCGAUGGGAAACGGGUUAAUAUUCCCGUACUUGGUGUUACUGCGAAGGGGGGACGGAGAAGGCUAUGUUGGCCGGGCGACGGUUGUCCCGGUUUAAGCGUGUAGGUGUGUGUUCCAGGUAAAUCCGGUUCACUUUAACACUGAGGCGUGACGACGAGGCACUACGGUGCUGAAGCAACAAAUGCCCUGCUUCCAGGAAAAGCCUCUAAGCAUCAGGUAACAUCAAAUCGUACCCCAAACCGACACAGGUGGUCAGGUAGAGAAUACCAAGGCGCUUGAGAGAACUCGGGUGAAGGAACUAGGCAAAAUGGUGCCGUAACUUCGGGAGAAGGCACGCUGACACGUAGGUGAAGUGAUUUACUCAUGGAGCUGAAGUCAGUCGAAGAUACCAGCUGGCUGCAACUGUUUAUUAAAAACACAGCACUGUGCAAACACGAAAGUGGACGUAUACGGUGUGACGCCUGCCCGGUGCCGGAAGGUUAAUUGAUGGGGUCAGCGCAAGCGAAGCUCCUGAUCGAAGCCCCGGUAAACGGCGGCCGUAACUAUAACGGUCCUAAGGUAGCGAAAUUCCUUGUCGGGUAAGUUCCGACCUGCACGAAUGGCGUAAUGAUGGCCAGGCUGUCUCCACCCGAGACUCAGUGAAAUUGAACUCGCUGUGAAGAUGCAGUGUACCCGCGGCAAGACGGAAAGACCCCGUGAACCUUUACUAUAGCUUGACACUGAACAUUGAGCCUUGAUGUGUAGGAUAGGUGGGAGGCUUUGAAGCGUGGACGCCAGUCUGCGUGGAGCCGACCUUGAAAUACCACCCUUUAAUGUUUGAUGUUCUAACGUGGACCCGUGAUCCGGGUUGCGGACAGUGUCUGGUGGGUAGUUUGACUGGGGCGGUCUCCUCCUAAAGAGUAACGGAGGAGCACGAAGGUUGGCUAAUCCUGGUCGGACAUCAGGAGGUUAGUGCAAUGGCAUAAGCCAGCUUGACUGCGAGCGUGACGGCGCGAGCAGGUGCGAAAGCAGGUCAUAGUGAUCCGGUGGUUCUGAAUGGAAGGGCCAUCGCUCAACGGAUAAAAGGUACUCCGGGGAUAACAGGCUGAUACCGCCCAAGAGUUCAUAUCGACGGCGGUGUUUGGCACCUCGAUGUCGGCUCAUCACAUCCUGGGGCUGAAGUAGGUCCCAAGGGUAUGGCUGUUCGCCAUUUAAAGUGGUACGCGAGCUGGGUUUAGAACGUCGUGAGACAGUUCGGUCCCUAUCUGCCGUGGGCGCUGGAGAACUGAGGGGGGCUGCUCCUAGUACGAGAGGACCGGAGUGGACGCAUCACUGGUGUUCGGGUUGUCAUGCC
rnacentral:rRNA from 1 species